CAGCAGGCUGAUUAUGUAUCUCGACGUAUCACUUCUAACUGUGUAACGCAAAGCUAAAUUGAACACUAGAGUGUUUUUGCAAUUCCGAUUAUGUAAGACAUAGGACUGCCACAAUGCCUAGUGAUAUCGUUCUAGGCGCAAAAUUUUAUCGACAUUAUGCGACUAAAUAAAAUACACCCUUUCUCGGUACUACUUACUACGGGCGCGGCAUACUUUUGCACAUAUUCGCAUUAUACUUGAUUUCGCUGUUUGUCUGUGGUGAAGUGAAGUGUUUUAAUUUCUUUGUUGGUAAACAAAGCCGUAUUAAAAUAUUAAUAAAAAAAUUGGUUUCGUUGGCUCAAAGUACUUGCAACAGCUAGUUUUUUGUUUUCAAUAGAAGUAAUUAAUUAAUCAUUUUAUCGUAUACAUUUUUAUUAGUGUUAAUAGUUAAUUUAUCAAAGUUAACGGCCACUUUUACAUAAAACAUUAACACGAAAGUUUUUCAAAGUUUUAUCGUCUGCCUAUGAUUAAUUUAAUGGUCGUUGUGAUAAUAUGUAAAGUAUAUUGUAUAGUGUUUUGUUUAUUAAAGUUCAUCGCUUGCAACUAAAGAUGUCCGGGAAACUCAAUGAUCGCCUUGGCUUGGAUCAAACUUGGCGAUGGGUUGUUUUGGAGGGCCUUUGGAAAGUCAGGCUACUAAAUAAACCUUCCGUGUUCUGUGUUCCGUGUCUGCCAGUGGAGUUGUAUUAAUAUGAAGAUGUGGGCUCUAAGCUUUGAGUGCCAGGGACUGACUAUGGAAGUCUCCAUGUCGCUGGUCACCAUUGAGGUGCAAAACACCUUGAAAAAAUUGGUGAUUCUGAAUCCUUCAUCUCUAUGAAUGAUUCAUGAAGAAAGAAUUAAACAAACAUUUAAUGAUCAGAUUUUUUAUAAAAUUAUUAUCAAUAAUGACAUUGCAUAUGAGAGAAAAUUGUCAAAUAUAAUUUCAUUUUAAUUUAAUAUAGUUAAUUAUGACAUCACUGUAUAUAAAGAAUAUGAUUAUUAUCAUUUGGUUAAUUUCAGUAUUACAUAGUAUUAGAUUAAAAUUUUAUUGUAAAAUUGCACAUCAAAAUAUGUUUUAUUAUCUAUUAUUAGGAGGAAAUAUUAUUUAACUAUUAUUAUUAUCCCUAAUAGCCCAGUGAAUGUGACCUCUGCCUCCAAUUCCGGAGGGUGUGGGUUCGAACCCGUUCCGGGGCACGCACCUCCAACUUUUCAGUUGUGUGCAUUUUAAGAAACUAAAUAUCACGUGUCUCAAACAGUGAAGGAAAACAUCGUGAGGAAACCUGCAUACCAGAGAAUUCUCUUAAUUCUCUGCAUAUGUGAUGUCUGCCAAUGUAAUCCAAAUAUGCUGGCCCAUAUUAGGCUCCUGUCAGAAUGAGAGGGGUUAGGCAUUGGCCUUCCCUUACCUUAUCAGCCGAUAGACGUCCACUGCUGGACAUAGACCUCUUACAUGGACCUCCAAGCACAACGACCUUGAGCCGCGAACAUCCAACCAACCGACCAACCACGCUUUCCAGUGCGGGGUCUCCCGAGUGCGGGUAGGCACUAACCCCUCUUACUGGGGGAGACUCGAGCUCAGCAGUGAGCCGAAUAUGUGUUUAUAAUGAUGAUGAUGAUGAUGAUGAUGAUGAUGAUGAUGAUGAUGAUGAUGAUGAUGAUUAUUUAAGUAAUUGUAAAAGAAAAAAUUGCAUACUACAUUAGUUGUUUAUCUAUACAAUUCAAUAAUUUUAAGAACAAAACAUGUACCUACCACAUUGUAGGAAAUAAAUAAAUAAUGAUUUGAUUAAAAACAAUGUUGUUUAAUGUUAAGCAGGUAGGGCCAUGUAGUUAAAGUAGAUACUCUAUAUUUGUGUAACAUCUAUUACUUAAAAAUAAAAAAUAUAUUUACUUGU